rnacentral:tRNA from 1 species
UCCCUGGUGGCUCAGAGGGUAAAGCAUCUGCCUGCAAUGUGGGAGACCUGGGUUCAAUUCCUGGGUCGGGAA